CAGUAGCCACGGUAAUACGUAGGUCCCGAGCGUUGUCCGGAUUUAUUGGGCGUAAAGCGAGCGCAGGCGGUUAGAUAAGUCCGAAGUUAAAGGCUGUGGCUUAACCAUAGUACGCUUUGGAAACUGUUUAACUUGAGUGCAAGAGGGGAGAGUGGAAUUCCAUGUGUAGCGGUGAAAUGCGUAGAUAUAUGGAGGAACACCGGUGGCGAAAGCGGCUCUCUGGCUUGUAACUGACGCUGAGGCUCGAAAGCGUGGGGAGCAAACAGGAUUAGAUACCCCCGUAGUCCCUGUCUCUUAUACA
rnacentral:rRNA from 1 species